rnacentral:rRNA from 1 species
UACAGAGGUGGCAAGCGUUGUCCGGAUUUAUUGGGUUUAAAGGGUGCGUAGGCGGCUUUGUAAGUCAGUGGUGAAAUAUGGCAGCUCAACUGUCAGGGUGCCACUGAUACUGCGGAGCUUGAGUACAGAUGAGGUAGGCGGAAUUGACGGUGUAGCGGUGAAAUGCUUAGAUAUCGUCAAGAACACCGAUAGCGAAGGCAGCUUACUGGGCUGUAACUGACGCUGAGGCACGAAAGUGUGGGGAUCAAACAGG